UGUUGAUUCUGAAACUAGACUUGUAUGUCUUUCGGAAUAUGUGAAGUUUGUGGCUUAGUUUGUAUCAAGUUAAAUCAGUUUUUGAUUUGAAGUUGAUAGACGCGCAGAAUCUGUGAUUUUGGACAGAUUUUUGUGUAAUUUUGGACGAGCAUAACUUUGUUGUCCGGACUCCGUUUUUAAAAAAUUUUAUAUCAAAAUUCAUGUAUCAGAGGUGUAGUUUCUAAUGGUUGUGGUUUCAUGAUCUGGUUUUAACUCUAUAAGAAGUUAUAGGCAGAAUACGAUAGGCUGGUCAUAGAUUUCAAACCAAAUGUAGGGGUUAUGUGGUGUUUGAGUGUUACGCUUGUUUAGGGACACUUCUAAACCUUUGAGAUGGACAUGCUAGUAUGCGUUAAGCAUCUUUAAUCUAUUGUUGGUGUUAUAGAUUGUUGUUAGAAGUUAGUUUUGACAUUUAACUGUUCAAUAAACUGAUAUGGUUAAUUUGUGGUUAGGUGUCAAGCUAGUCAAUUAGGAGGGGCCGAAACUGUAAGUUUGGCGUACCUCGGUCGAUACAAAGGUAGUAGGUUGCUUAGAGUGGGUCCACUACCGGUCGUCGCGUUGAGGUGUUUUGCUAGCGUCAGGUGGGGUUUUGGUUACGUUGUUGUAGAGUGCUUUGGCUGGUGCAGAACUUAAUUUGUAAGGAGUUAUAACUAAGGAUAGUUAAAGCUUUUAAAUUGUACAGGUUGUAAUUAAGUUUGGUCGAUGGCUGGCGUUCUAUUUGAGGUUAGCCUUGGACGUUGUGGAUAGUCGAGUUCAUUGUAGGUAGUUGAUGAAGAAGUUGGUUUAUUCAAGUUGUAAGUAAGUCGUCGGUGGAUGUGUUGAAGUAUAGAAUUUUUAAAGUAUAAAUUUUUUAAAGUACUAUAAUG